rnacentral:rRNA from 1 species
GAAGGGACCUAGCGUAGUUCGGAAUUACUGGGCUUAAAGAGUUCGUAGGUGGUUAAAAUAGUUGGUGGUGAAAUCCCAGAGCUUAACUCUGGAACUGCCAUCAAAACUUUUUAGCUAGAGUAUGAUAGAGGAAAGCAGAAUUUCUAGUGUAGAGGUGAAAUUCGUAGAUAUUAGAAAGAAUACCAAUUGCGAAGGCAGCUUUCUGGAUCAUUACUGACACUGAGGAACGAAAGCAUGGGUAGCGAAGAGGAUUAGAUACCCUCGUAGUCCAUGCCGUAAACGAUGUGUGUUAGACGUUGGAAAUUUAUUUUCAGUGUC